AAAACUGUGUUUGGUAAAGCCUGGAGCUCAACACUGAGUAAUUCAGAUGGAGUAGCUCUGGCUGGGGGGUGGGUUUGGGUUGGGUGGAGCUCAGCUGAGGGAGUGAUUAGUAAUGAGCAGCACCUGGGGCUGGAGGUAGGCAGUCACCUCCCACAGUUCCCUCUGCCUGGCCCCGAGGGAGGAGGCUGGAUGAUCUUUCUGGAUGGCUGUAAAGCUCUCCUGUAUAUUACUGCAGCACCCACAGUGCUUGGAUGGGGUUCUGCAGAGUCACCAUCAGUUCCUGUGCAUCACUUGCAGCAAUGUGGUCCAUCAAGAAAUGAAAUCUCCAUUCACCUGCACGCCCCGGUGGAGAGCUCUGGGGUGGCCCUACAGGACUGUAAUGGUAUAAGCAGAAGAGACAUUAAGCAAACGAUUGAUUCCAUUGUUUCAUUUCUAAAGGCUCACAAACGACCAGCAGAUGGGAUGGCAAAGAGGUCUGUCUCCGUGAGACACCCUUUCCUAUUAAUGGUGGUCAACAACUACUCCUGACUAAGAAUGUCCGUUAGGGGACAGCAGCAGUGGGAUGACAACGAGAGACUUUUGCUGCUCUGUAAGAGCAUGAAAGUCACCGUGUAUUAAAUUCUGAAAGUAAUAUUUUUCUUUGACAAACCUACUGCUGUGAGUUGUAAUGGCUUCCCCUGAAAGCUGUUGUAAAGUAAAAAUGGUGAAACGGGGAUGGCUCUACAAUGUACUGUCAAGCUGAAACAAUGGGUAAACUUCAUUCUGUUUGUGAACAAUACAUCUUAGGGAGAAAUUAUUUAAAAAAAAUAAACUCUUUGGCAUUGAAUAUGCA
rnacentral:lncRNA from 1 species